rnacentral:rRNA from 1 species
GUUGGGUAGGGGAGCGUUCUGUAAGCCUGUGAAGGUGUACUGUGAGGUAUGCUGGAGGUAUCAGAAGUGCGAAUGCUGACAUAAGUAACGAUAAUGCGGGUGAAAAACCCGCACGCCGGAAGACCAAGGGUUCCUGUCCAACGUUAAUCGGGGCAGGGUGAGUCGACCCCUAAGGCGAGGCAGAAAUGCGUAGUCGAUGGGAAACGGGUUAAUAUUCCCGUACUGGUGAUAAUUGCGAUGGGGGGACGGAGAAGGCUAGGCUAUCCGGGCGACGGUUGUCCCGGUUUAAGGAUGUAGGCAGGUGAAUUAGGCAAAUCCGGUUCACUACAUGCUGAGGUCCGAUGACGAGUCACUACGGUGAUGAAGUAGCUCAUGCCCCGCUUCCAGGAAAAGCCUCUAAGCUCUAGAUUAUCAUUAAUCGUACCCCAAACCGACACAGGUGGUCAGGUAGAGAAUACUCAGGCGCUUGAGAGAACUCGGGUGAAGGAACUAGGCAAAAUGGUGCCGUAACUUCGGGAGAAGGCACGCUGGCGCUAGGUGAAGUCCCUCGCGGAUGGAGCUGAAGCCAGUCGCAGAUACCAGCUGGCUGCAACUGUUUAUUAAAAACACAGCACUGUGCAAACACGAAAGUGGACGUAUACGGUGUGACGCCUGCCCGGUGCUGGAAGGUUAAUUG